rnacentral:tRNA from 1 species
GAGGAUUAGUUUAAUAAAAACACUUAAUUUCGGCUUAAGAAAAUUCGAUAAUUACCUCGAAAUCCUC